AGUUCAUUUCAGAGUUGUUAUCCCUCCAUGUGAAUGAAGGCUCUUUGCAUCUUUCUGAGAAGCUCUAAUGGGAGCAGCAGCGACGUGCUCAGACUUCCAGCUGGAACAGGAAUCUUCUGUGCAGAGAGGGGGUCAUGGACGUGUUAUUGGCCGUCAUCGCUGACAGGUGGCACUGAGAGAUGACCACACCAUCUCUGUGUCAGCCUGUGAAAACACACACCGGGCAUGCAGCCAGCUCUGAAGGGAUUUACACAAGAGGAGAAGAAAACCCACUGCUGACUAAUCCUUGGAAACAGGCCGAGAUCAAACCAGCUGCAAAUCCAGCUGUGGACUGGAAAUGUUACCUGAGAUUUACACAAAGAAGGAAGCGGUGCACGUGCAUCAGCACUAAGAGUUGGAAGCUGCGUGUCAUUUAGGUAG